UACGUAGGGGGCAAGCGUUGUCCGGAAUCAUUGGGCGUAAAGCGCGCGUAGGCGGCCCGGUAAGUCCGCUGUAAAAGUCAAAGGCUCAACCUUUGAAUGCCGGUGGAUACUGUCGGGCUAGAGUCCGGAAGAGGCGAGUGGAAUUCCUGGUGUAGCGGUGGAAUGCGCAGAUAUCAGGAGGAACACCAAUUGCGAAGGCAGCUCGCUGGAACGUAACUGACGCUGAGACGCGAAAGCGUGGGGAGCAAACAGG
rnacentral:rRNA from 1 species